UCCUUUUCACUCUGAUCUUUUUUCAUAAGGUCUAUAAUGAGAUGAAGUUCUAAGGAUUAUUCCGCUGCAGAAUUAUUCUCCUUUAAGCAAGUGUUCUUUGAAACACUCGUCAAGACUUCAAAGUGGUUUUGGUGGUGGAAAAGAAGUUUGCUGAGUACAUCAGUCAUGGCAACAGCUGUAACCCUUGCUCAGGUUUCCAAGAGUACAAAGUCCUGCGCUCAGCAAGGGAGAAAGCUCGAAUAUGGACCCUCUGCUAGGCACUUGCUCAAAGCGAAUCACCUCGAGGAUUAAUACUUUUGCACAAUGCUGCUGACAAAUUGUGUAGUGCCCGACUGUAUGAGCUUGAGCAAUGCUGAGAAAGGGAUUUUACAGAGGAUGAAUAUAUCACCUUGGAACGUCAGUGUUAACCUCAGAAAUACUUCAGACACUUCGAUAAACAGCUCUGGAAACAGAAGUGAUGUCUUUGCCUGACGUGCUGGGGAGGAAGGAAAAGAGAAAGGGUAAAACCGGUUUCCAUCAGUGGCUUCUCAGCAUUCCAGCUUUCUCCUAGUUUCAGCAAUGCUGCUGAGAUUGAACUUGGUGUAUGUGAUUUCUAGCAAGGAUAACAAAGCUGUAUAGCUAGUUGCUGGUGGCAAUCUAGAGUGAUUCGGGUUUGCUACGGCCAGUUUCCAUUUGUAAUGUGUGUAGGUGGAGCAGAUGCAGCGAUUAAA